rnacentral:rRNA from 1 species
CGUAGCGCGGUGGUCCCACCUGACCCCAUGCCGAACUCAGAAGUGAAACGCCGUAGCGCCGAUGGUAGUGUGGGGUCUCCCCAUGCGAGAGUAGGAAACUGCCAGGC